UCUCUGCCAGUAUUAUAUGCUGAUGUUAAAGAUUAAGCCAUGCAUGUGUAAGUAUAAAGUCCAAGAAGGAUGAAACUGCGAACGGCUCAUUAGAACAGUUAUAGUUUCUUCGAUUAGUAAGUACAAGGAUAGCUUUGUGAAUGAUAAAGAUAAUACUUGAGACGAUCUUGGAUGUAGAGAUACAUUCAGGCCUUUGCAUCAUUUAAUGGUGUGAAGAGAAAGGAUAUCCAAAGUGAAAGUGGGUAUCAUGACAAUUGUAGAAUAGCAAUAUUUAACAAGUAAUCGAUGAGAAUAUCUGAUCUAUCAACUAGUUGGUAGUAUCGAGGACUACCAAGGUUAUAACGGAUAACGAGGAAUUAGGGUUUGACAUCGGAGAGGGAGCUUUCAAGAUGGCUACCACUUCCAAGGAAGGCAGCAGGCGCGUAAAUUACCCAAUUUCAACAGAUAGAAGAGGUAGUGACGACAAAUAACUCACGACAUGCGUAAGCAUGUCUUGAAGGAAUGAGUAAGAAGCAAAGAGUCUUACGAAAUCAAUUGGAGGGCAAGUCUGGUGCCAGCAGCCGCGGUAAUUCCAGCUCCAAUAGUGUAUAUUAAAGUUGUUGUGAUUAAAACGCUCGUAGUUGAAAAUGAUAUAUAUCCAUCGUUCAAGACAUGAGUAUGACAUGAUCGUAUGAAAGUGUUGAACAACAUAAAUGGAUAUAGUAAGGAAUGAUGCGACAUGAAUGUGUUGUGUUGUUAAUUACUUUGAAAAAAUUAGAGUGCUUAAAGCGAAUCUAUUAAAGAAUAGUGAAGCAUGGGACAAUCAAGCGAAUAGGAGAUCUACGGAUUUCGUAUUAGGAAGAAAGAUUAAGAGGAAUAAUUGGGGUAAUUCAGAAAAUAACGGGAGAGGUGAAAAUUCAUGAUCGUUAUAAGAUGAACUAGAGCGAAAGCAUUUUACUCAAUUAUGUUCAUUAAUCAAGAACGAAAGUUAGGGGAUCGAAGACGAUCAGAUACCGUCGUAGUCCUAACUAUAAACGAUGUCAACGAAGGAUUGGAUAAAUUUGAAGACGGAUAAUGAUAUUCAGCAUUGCUGGAUAACAUUUGAAGUCGAAUACACCUUAUUCAGAACUUGAAGAGAAAUCUUGAGUUAUUGGACUUCAGGGGGAGUAUGGUCACAAGGCUGAAACUUAAAGGAAUUGACGGAAGGGCACACAAGGAGUGGAGCCUGCGGCUUAAUUUGACCCAACACGGGAAAACUUACCAAGACCGAACAUUAUGA
rnacentral:rRNA from 1 species